GCUUCCCAGCUACUUGAACCCCGCAAGGUUCAAGGCUCCAAUGAGCUAUGAUCCCACCACAACACUCCAGUCUGCGAGACUGAGGCUGGAGUUGCAAUCUCAGCUCACCACAACGUCCGCCUCCCAGAUUCAAGAGAUUCUCCUGCCUCAGCCUCCCAAGUUGCUGGGACUACAGGGGUGCGUCCCACGCCCAGGGGCAUUAGCAGUAUGGUCAGGUGCUGCAUCCACAAGCCCACGAGCCAGGAGCCUGCUGUGAAGGUCAUCGACGUCACCAGUGGAAGCAGCUUCACCCCCGAGGAGGUGCAGGAGCUGCAAGAAGCCACACUGAAGGAGGUUGACAUCCUGCACAAGGUCUAAGGGCACCCCAGCAUCAAGCCACCCAGAGUUCCCUUGCUGAGGAUCUGAGCAUGACCCGGGAUGAGGCACUGCCGGACUCUCAUUCCGCACAGGACUUCCAUGACAAUUAUUAGCCCAACGAGAUCCUGGGCAGUGCUGUCCACUUGAAGAAACCCUUGGUUUGGGGUCCUGCCCUCCUGAAGCCAGGACAGAUAAGAGAAACCACUC
rnacentral:lncRNA from 10 species